AGAAGCUGCAACUUCCUUCAUCCUUCGCAGGCUACACUCUCAUCUCCAUCUUUCCUUCAUCAUCGGACCUCGUCUUACUUCAUUUCCCUUCUUCAUCUUAUGGUUCCUCAUACUUCAUUUUCCUUAUUCACCCCACGCCUCUUCUUGCUCUAUUUCCCUUCUUUAUCGCUGUGCCUCCUUCUUAUCAGUCAUCUAUCUCUAAGUUACUCUUUCAUUUCUUGCUUCCAUCUCCUUUCUUGGCCUCUAGGUUAUGGACGCACCUUUUCCUCCUUAAAGCAAAUAAGGAACAUUUGUUGAUUGUCACUUACUAGAUUUCACUCUAAUAUUUGCCAAUUUGAACCACUAUUCAAAACAUUAUCUCAACUCCUUCUUUCUCCCUUAUAAUCAUAGGCUCGAAUACUCGACCAUUUCGUUUGUUAAGCUCAUGAAGUCUAGAACUUGUUAGUUGAGAUUUAUUAGGUAAAAUCCCUCUUCUUCCAUUGCUUCAUUUAUGGGUUAGUUUUAUUUUCAUAUGUAUAAAGUUUUAUUUUCAUAUGUAUAUUCUGGAGCUUGAGGAACGAGAUAAAGAUGAGAAAUAAGGAAUCGAAGAGAGAGAUUGAGAAUAGAGUGUGUGUGUGUGUGAGAGAGAGAGAGAAGCUAGAUAAAGAGGAGACGUCCCAAGAAAGAUAUAAAGAAGAUAAAUAAAAAGGGCUUAGAAAUGCAAGAGAUAUUGCAGGAUAUAGGGGAGACAGAGAGGAGUAAAGAAGAAGAAGAUAAGGAGAGGAAUAAAGAAACACAUAUGGAGGAGAAUAAGGUGCUAUAUAUUUAUCAUAUUUUUUAUGCUCUUAUUACUUAUUUUUGUAAGAAAUUUGAAUGAAUUUUGAGUUAAAAAAUCAAUUUAUAAGCAAACUUUUGAUGCAUGUUACAUUGAUGAAGAAAAGAGGAGAAAAAAGUCUGAAGAGAAAAGAAGAGAUGAGGUAGAAGUCCAGGCCCAAAUCUGCAGUUAAACCUAACCCAUCAACACUCAAAACGAUGUUGUUUUGAAGCUGAGAAACAGAAGCCAAAAUGGCACCAUUUUGAAGAAAGAAAAAAAAUAUCAGGAUAAAACAGGCAUGUACGCCUCUGGAAGCCCGAAAGACACCAGAAAAGAAGAAGAAGAGACCCGCACGGGAUCGACCGAAGGAGGAAGAAGAGGCGUGCGAAACUUCACCUUCUUCUGCCUACAAAUGAGAACCAAGAGCAGAUCUGGAAAGGACAGAUAGGUUAAGAGCCAAAGCGCGAGUAGAAGGCAAAGCUUGGUAGAGGGCUUAAGCAAAAGCAGAGCAAAAAACAGAAUAUGAAGCAGAGUAGAGCGGGGCGCAGAAGGCAGAAGAGAGCAAAAUCAUAAGAGAACUCGGAGCGUAGAGGAAAAUAAGGCGAGUUUUAAGGAAGCUAGUGGAAGUAAAAGUUGAGAAUAAUAAAAGUGAAGCGGUAAGCUGAGUGGAGAAUCAGAUUCGAAGCAGAAGCAUGAUUACAAAUCUUAAGCAGGAAAGUAAGGGAGUUUGGUGAGAGAGAAGCAUAGAAAAGUAAUUACGUAAUGUAAUAUAUUUUUUUAGCUUNNNNN
rnacentral:lncRNA from 1 species